rnacentral:rRNA from 1 species
CGAUUACUAGCGAAUCCAGCUUCACGAAGUCGAACUUGCAGACUUCGAUCCGAACUGAGAGAAGAUUUAAGAGAUUAGCAUCCUGUCACCAGGUAGCAACCCUCUGUACUCCCCAUUGUAACACGUGUGUCGCCCCGGACGUAAGGGCCGUGCUGAUUUGACGUCAUCCCCACCUUCCUCGCAUCUUACGAUGGCAGUCCCAAUAGAGUCCUCAGCAUUACCUGAUAGUAACUAUUGGCAAGGGUUGCGCUCGUUAUGGCACUUAAGCCGACACCUCACGGCACGAGCUGACGACAACCAUGCAGCACCUACACAGAAGCCAUUGCUGGAAAAUCGGUUUCCCGAUCCGUCUUCUGCAUUUCAAGCCCGGGUAAGGUUCCUCGCGUAUCAUCGAAUUAAACCACAUGUUCCUCCGCUUGUGCGGGCCCCCGUCAAUUCCUUUGAGUUUCAUUCUUGCGAACGUACUCCCCAGGUGGAAUACUUAACGCUUUCGCUGUGCCACAUACGG